rnacentral:rRNA from 1 species
GACAUAGGUGGCGAACGUUAUCCGGAAUUAUUGGGCGUAAAGCGUGUGUAGGCGGAUCUGUAAGUACCUUGUGAAAUCCCACGGCUCAACCGUGGAACUGCUUGGUAUACUGCGGGUCUUGAGCCACCUAGGGGCAAGUGGAACAAACGGUGGAGCGGUGAAAUGCGUAGAUAUCGUGUGGAACGCCAAUGGUGAAAACAACUUGCUGGGGGUGUGCUGACGCUGAGACACGAAAGCCAGGGGAGCAAACGGG